rnacentral:rRNA from 1 species
AAAGGUAGCGUAAUCAUUAGUUUUUUAAUUGAAAGCUNGUAUGAAUGGUUGGACGAGGUAAAUACUGUCUUUAUUUAAUUUAUAGUAAAAUUUAACUUUUAAGUGAAAAGGCUUAAAUGUUAUUAAUAGACGAGAAGACCCUAUAGAUCUUUAUAUAUUAAUUUAUUAAUUUUAUUAGGAUGAUUUAUUAAUUAAUAGAUUAAUUUAUUUUAUUGGGGUAAUAUAAAGAUAUAAAUAAUUCUUUGAAUAUUUAUACAAUAAUUGUUGAAUAAUUGAUCCAUUAAUAUUGAUUAUAAGAUUAAGUUACCUUAGGGAUAACAGCGUAAUUUUUUUAAAGACUUCAUAUCGAUAAAAAAGU